UUGCCACCCUGGUUUUUGGUCUGAUUCACGGUUUUCCUUACAAUUAAGAGGCCGGUUUUUUUCUUCGCGCCCGACGAAGCGGACCCGGGCGCCGACAAUUUAGAAGAAAUGGUUUGUGGCAGUUUUAAACUUUCAUUCCAUGUGUCCCAGUAAAUCAUUCUAUGGGAUUGGCCCCAAGGGAUCGACCAAACGUCGCAUCGAGGAAGAAACACAAUCAAAAAUUUACUUUUCACGUCAGCACGAGGAGUCUUCAAAUGUGACCUAGGCCAAGGUGCGCAAUCAGGUGUGUGCUGCGUUGCGCCAGAUACGCUCCCUUGUUGGCACCAUUCGCAGGAAUAUCCCAACACAUUUGCUGGUUGUUCCAUUGAACUUUGGCGAAGUUCAGAAUCGCGUUUUGGGAACUUAAGAAAAGCAUUUUGGAGGCUCAGCUUCAGGGCAUCGAUGAUGACCUCUUCAUAUAUAACCAAAUAACAUUGGGUUCCUAUGUGCUGCUGCGAAUCCUGUCGCUCCAAGCUCCGCCCGUGUUGGGUACGGCUGCAUUGAGGCUCCUGAGUUGCAGAGGUUCGUUUCCAAGCAACUCCUUUCCGCAUCGGCUAAAAAGCUGCAUAUGGUAGUGCUGAAAAAUCACUAUCGCAUGCCCCUUCAAUGCCCGCGAGAUACUUAAGCGAUUUGGGGACUUUGACUUCGGAGCAGUCCAGUGUGGCACCGUGCACUUAUGUGAUUUGGCACUGACUGACAGUCGGGCUGACACUUUCUACGCGAUCAGCGGAAGUCUGAAAUUCUAGCAAGCUUCCCCCUGUAAUGUGUAUUCUUUGAUAUCUAAUGAUAUUCUUUGUCGAUAACACCAAUCACCAAUCAGCACUUUUGAAUCGAAUGCGAGACGAAGAAACAAAGCAUAUCUACUAUGUAUGAUUAUCAUUUUAGUUUCGCCAUUCCCGCUCGUGCCGAAAUGCAUAAGCAAUGAGUGGUGUGGGGUACAGACCCAGGUGAAUUGUUUCGAGGCAAGCACA